GAUGAACGCUGGCGGCGUGCCUAAUACAUGCAAGUCGAGCGAACGGACGAGAAGCUUGCUUCUCUGAUGUUAGCGGCGGACGGGUGAGUAACACGUGGAUAACCUACCUAUAAGACUGGGAUAACUUCGGGAAACCGGAGCUAAUACCGGAUAAUAUUUUGAACCGCAUGGUUCAAAAGUGAAAGACGGUCUUGCUGUCACUUAUAGAUGGAUCCGCGCUGCAUUAGCUAGUUGGUAAGGUAACGGCUUACCAAGGCAACGAUGCAUAGCCGACCUGAGAGGGGGAUCGGCCACACUGGAACUGAGACACGGUCCAGACUCCUACGGGAGGCAGCAGUAGGGAAUCUUCCGCAAUGGGCGAAAGCAUGACGGAGCAACGCCGCGUGAGUGAUGAAGGUCUUCGGAUCGUAAAACUCUGUUAUUAGGGAAGAACAUAUGUGUAAGUAACUGUGCACAUCUUGACGGUACCUAAUCAGAAAGCCACGGCUAACUACGU
rnacentral:rRNA from 1 species